rnacentral:rRNA from 1 species
UACAGAGGGGGCAAGCGUUAUUCGGAAUUAUUGGGCGUAAAGGGCGCGUAGGCGGCCUGGCAAGUGGAAGGUGAAAUCCCUCGGCUUAACCGAGGAACUGCCCUCCAAACUGCUUGGCUUGAGUCCGGGAGAGGUGAGUGGAAUUCCGAGUGUAGAGGUGAAAUUCGUAGAUAUUCGGAAGAACACCAGUGGCGAAGGCGGCUCACUGGACCGGCAUUGACGCUGAGGUGCGAAAGCGUGGGGAGCAAACAGG